rnacentral:rRNA from 1 species
GACGAACGCUGGCGGCGUGCUUAACACAUGCAAGUCGAACGGAAAGGCCCUGCUUGCAGGGUACUCGAGUGGCGAACGGGUGAGUAACACGUGGGUGAUCUGCCCUGCACUUCGGGAUAAGCCUGGGAAACUGGGUCUAAUACCGGAUAGGAGCCAUUUUUAGUGUGAUGGUUGGAAAGUUUUUUCGGUGUAGGAUGAGCUCGCGGCCUAUCAGCUUGUUGGUGGGGUAAUGGCCUACCAAGGCGGCGACGGGUAGCCGGCCUGAGAGGGUGGACGGCCACAUUGGGACUGAGAUACGGCCCAGGCUCCUACGGGAGGCAGAAGUGGGGAAGAUUGAACAAUGGGCGCAAGCCUGAUGCAGCGACGCCGCGUGGGGGAUGACGGCCUUCGGGUUGUAAACUCCUUUCGCUAGGGACGAAGCUUUUUGUGACGGUACCUAGAUAAGAAGCACCGGCUAACUACGUG